UACGUAGGGGGCUAGCGUUGUCCGGAAUCAUUGGGCGUAAAGCGCGCGUAGGCGGCCCGGUAAGUCCGCUGUGAAAGUCAAAGGCUCAACCUUUGAAUGUCAGCGGAUACUGCCGGGCUAGAGUCCGGAAGAAGCGAGUGGAAUUCCUGGUGUAGCGGUGGAAUGCGCAGAUAUCAGGAGGAACACCAACGGCGAAGGCAGCUCGCUGGGACGGUACUGACGCUGAGGCGCGAAAGCGUGGGGAGCGAACAGG
rnacentral:rRNA from 1 species